rnacentral:rRNA from 1 species
GACGAACGCUGGCGGCGUGCUUAACACAUGCAAGUCGAACGGAAAGGCCCUGCUUGCCGGGUACUCGAGUGGCGAACGGGUGAGUAACACGUGGGUGAUCUGCCCUGCACUUCGGGAUAAGCCUGGGAAACUGGGUCUAAUACCGGAUAGGAGCCAUUUUUAGUGUGAUGGUUGGAAAGUUUUUUCGGUGUAGGAUGAGCUCGCGGCCUAUCAGCUUGUUGGUGGGGUAAUGGCCUACCAAGGCGGCGACGGGUAGCCGGCCUGAGAGGGUGGACGGCCACAUUGGGACUGAGAUACGGCCCAGACUCCUACGGGAGGCAGCAGUGGGGAAUAUUGCACAAUGGGCGCAAGCCUGAUGCAGCGACGCCGCGUGGGGGAUGACGGCCUUCGGGUUGUAAACUCCUUUCGCUAGGGACGAAGCUUUUGUGACGGUACCUAGAGAAGAAGCACCGGCUAACUACGUG